GCACUUUGGCCCUGCUUUUCCGAAAAGCACUACUAGUACUGGUAUUUCUCUGUACGACCAAUCGGCAUUUCGCAACAGAAGGAGGGCUGUCGAGAGAGGGAACCCAAGUUCCUAUGUGGCAUAAUAUCUUUGGAUCUCACAGGCUGUUUGCAACGAAGACAUCAUGAACGUUUCAAACUUGUGUGUCUUAUCGGUGGCUGUGAUUUGUAUGGUGCUAGCUUGGAGUGAACCUUCCAAAGCCUGUGGUUCGUGUACAUGUAGCAACGGAGUUGUCAUGUCGUGCCCAAACAUUGCCGAAAUAAAUUUGAGGUAUAAUCAACUGGUUGACCUACCUGACGGGCUGUUCAAAGCCACAACUGAAUUACAAAC